GACGAACGCUGGCGGCGUGCCUAACACAUGCAAGUCGAGCGAAGUAUAUCUAAGGGAAAUUUUCGGAUUAAACUUAGAUAUAUCUUAGCGGCGGACGGGUGAGUAACGCGUGAGCAACCUGCCUUUCACAAAGGGAUAGCCUCGGGAAACUGGGAUUAAUACCAUAUAAAACUUGUCUUUCGCAUGAAAGAAAAGCCAAAAGCGAAUAAGCGGUGAAAGAUGGGCUCGCGUCCUAUUAGCUAGUUGGUGAGGUAACGGCUCACCAAGGCGACGAUAGGUAGCCGGCCUGAGAGGGUGAACGGCCACACUGGAACUGAGACACGGUCCAGACUCCUACGGGAGGCAGCAGUGGGGGAUAUUGCACAAUGGAGGAAACUCUGAUGCAGCGACGCCGCGUGAGUGAAGAAGGCCUCGGGUCGUAAAGACGUACUGUCCUAGGGUAAGGAGUAAUAGACGGUACCGUACGGAGGAAGACCCGGGACCGAACUAACCGUACGCCACGCACGCCGACGGUAAACGGUAACGUACGUAAUACUACGG
rnacentral:rRNA from 1 species